UACGGGGGGGGCAAGCGUUGUUCGGAAUUACUGGGCGUAAAGGGCUCGUAGGUGGCCAACUAAGUCAGACGUGAAAUCCCUCGGCUUAACCGGGGAACUGCGUCUGAUACUGGAUGGCUUGAGUUCGGGAGAGGGAUGCGGAAUUCCAGGUGUAGCGGUGAAAUGCGUAGAUAUCUGGAGGAAUACCGGUGGCGAAGGCGGCAUCCUGGACCGACAUUGACGCUGAGGAGCGAAAGCUAGGGGAGCAAACGGG
rnacentral:rRNA from 1 species